GAUGAAGAACGCAGUGAAAUGCGAUACGUAAUGUGAAUUGCAGAAUUCAGUGAAUCAUCGAAUCUUUGAACGCACAUUGCGCCCCUUGGUAUCCCGAGGGGCAUGCCUGUUCGAGCGUCAUUUCACCACUCAAGCCUGGCUUGGUGUUGGGCGACGUCCUCUUUGGGGACGCGCCUCGAAACGCUCGGCGGCGUGGCACCGGCUUUAAGCGUAGCAGAAUCUUUCGCUUUGGAAGUCGGGGCCCCGUCUGCCGGAAGACCUGCUCGCAAGGUUGACCUCGGAUCAGGCAGGGAUACCCGCUGAACUUAAGCAUAUCAAUAAGCGGAGGA
rnacentral:misc_RNA from 1 species